UACGUAGGGCGCAAGCGUUGUCCGGAAUUAUUGGGCGUAAAGAGCUCGUAGGCGGUCCGUUACGUCGGGAGUGAAAACCCGGGGCUCAACCCUGGGCCUGCUUUCGAUACGGGCAGACUAGAGUAUGGCAGGGGAGACUGGAAUUCCUGGUGUAGCGGUGAAAUGCGCAGAUAUCAGGAGGAACACCGGUGGCGAAGGCGGGUCUCUGGGCCAUUACUGACGCUGAGGAGCGAAAGCGUGGGGAGCGAACAGGAUUAGAUACCCUGGUAGUCCACGCCGUAAACGUUGGGCGCUAGGUGUGGGGGUCUUUCCACGACCUCUGUGCCGCAGCUAACGCAUUAAGCGCCCCGCCUGGGGAGUACGGCCGCAAGGCUAAA
rnacentral:rRNA from 1 species